GGUCAAGUUAUUAAGGGCGCAGGGCGGAUGCCUUGGCACUAAGAGCCGAUGAAGGACGCGAUAAGCUGCGAUAAGCUUCGGGGAGUUGCACGUAAACUUUGAUCCGAAGAUUUCCGAAUGAGGAAACUCACUUAGAGUAAUGUCUAAGU
rnacentral:rRNA from 1 species